AACAGACCAAUCUCUAAUGAAAUGCUAUUUGCUACACUUUUUAAAUAGAAAAAUUAUUCCGAUCAGCCAGCCAUAACUCAACAGACCAAACCGAACCCACAUUUUCUAAAGUAAAGAAAUUAUUUCCCUUGAUAGAUCAAGAUGCCAAAGUGUCGUUUGCCCGACUGCUAUGUUCCUACACACGCAGAGCAAAUUAUUUUUCAAAUCAAGGAAUUAAGAAAAGGAAGAAUAUCAUGAUGUUCGUGGCACUUGCCAGGUCUGCCAUGCUACCAUGGCAUCGUCUUUUUAGUCUCUACCCACAUGCCGAGUUGAGAAAUAAUCUUCAGAUAUACCCACUGCUAACACACUCA
rnacentral:lncRNA from 1 species